UAGGCACUCAGUAGACAGUAGGCACACAGUAGACACUCAAUAGGCACGCAGUAGGCACUCGGUAGGCAGUAGGCCUGCAAUAGGCACUCAGUAGCCAUGCAGUAGACACUCAGUAGGCAAUCAGUAAGCACUCAGUAGAGAGUAGACAUGCAGUAGACACUCAGUAGGCAUGCAAUAGACACUCAGGAGACACAAAGUAGACACUCAAUAGGCACGCAGUAGGCACUCAGUAGAUACGCAGUAGACAGUAGACAGUAGACACUCAGUAGGCACUCAGUAAACAGUAGACAGUGGGCAAUCAGCAGGCACUCAGUAGACAGUAGGCAUGCAGUAGACACUCAGUAGGUGCUCAGUAGGCAUGCAGUAGACACUCAGUAGGCAUGCAGUAGACACUCAGUAGACAGUAGACACUCAGUAGACAGUAGGCCUGCAGCAGACACUCAGUAGGCACUCAGUAGGCAUGCAGUAGGCAUGCAGUAGACACUCAGUAGACAGUAGACACUCAGUAGACAGUAGACACUCAGUAGAAUGCAGUAGGCACUCAGUAGGUACUCAGUAGGUACUCAGUAGACAAGCAGUAGACACUCAGUAGGCACGCAGUAAAUGCUCGGUAGACACCCAGUAGGCAUGCAGUAGGCAGUAGGCACGCAGUAGGCAUGCAGUAGACACUCACUAGACACGUAGUAGACAGUAGGCACACAGGAGGCACUCAGUAGGCAUGCAGUAGACACACAGUAGACAGUAGACGGUAGACACUCAGUAGGCACUCAGGAAACAGUAGACAGUCAGUGGGCAACCAGCAGGCACUCAGUAGACAGUAGGCAUGCAGUAGACACUCAGUAGGUGCUCAGUAGGUACGCAGUAGACAUGCAGUAGACACUCAGUAGGCAUGCAGUAGGCAGUAGGCACGCAGUAGGCAUGCGGUAGACACUCACUAGACACGUAGUAGACAGUAGGCACACAGGAGGCACUCAGUAGGCAUGCAGUAGACACACAAUAGGCACACAGUAGGCACUCAGUAGGAAUGCAGUAGACACACAGUAGACAGUAGACGGUAGACACUCAGUAGGCACUCAGAAACAGUAGACAGUGGGCAACCAGCAGGCACUCAGUAGACAGUAGGCAUGCAGUAGACACUCAGUAGGUGCUCAGUCGGCAUGCAGUAGACACACAGUAGGCACAGCAUAGGCAUGCAGCAGACACACAGUAGGCACAGCAUAGGCACUCAGUAGACACACAGUAGGUACACAGUAGGCACUCAGUAGGCAUGCAGUAAGCACUAAGCAGACACUCAGUAGGCAUGCAGUAGACAUGCAGUAGACACACAGUAGGCACUCAGUAGACAGUAGGCACACUGUAGGCACGCAGUAGGAAUGCAGUAGACACUCAGUAGGCACACAAUAGGCACCUACCUGAGUGAACUAGUGAGUGAGUGAAUGCCUGCAUGCCAGGGGUCAUUUCGGAGAGCUGGUGAGUGUUAUGGUUUGGCUGUGUCUCCUCCCAAAUCUCAUCUUGAAUUGUAACUCCCACAAUUUCCACAUGUCAUGGUAGGAACCCAGUGGGAGGUGAUGGAAUAUUGGGAUGGGUCUUUCCUGUGCUCUUCUCAUGAUAGUGAAUGAGUCUCAUGAGAUCUGAUGGUUUUAAAAACAGGAGUUUCCCUGCACAAGCUCUCUCUUUGCCUGCCACCAUCCACAUAAGACGUGACUUGCUCCUCCUUGCCUUCCACCAUGAUUGUGAGGCUUCCUCAGCCACAUGGAACUGUGAGUCCAAUUAAACCUCUUUCUUUUGUAAAUUGCCCAGUCUCGGGUAUGUCUUUAUCAGCAGCAUGAAAAUGAA
rnacentral:lncRNA from 10 species